rnacentral:sRNA from 1 species
GCAGGGUGUGGUGGUGCACACCUGUAAUCUCAGCAACUUCGGAAGCUGAGACAGGAGGAUUACAAGUUCAAAGUCAGCCUCAGCAACUUAGGGAGGCCCUAAGCAACUCAGUGAGACUCUAUCUCUA